UACGUAGGGUGCGAGCGUUGCCCGGAUUUAUUGGGCGUAAAGGGCGCGCAGGCGGCCACGCACGUCCGUUGUGAAAUCGCCCGGCUCAACUGGGCGGGGUCAGCGGAUACGGCGUGGCUGGAGCAAGCUAGGGGGCAAUGGAAUUCCCGGUGUAGUGGUGGAAUGCGUAGAUAUCGGGAGGAACACCAGUGGCGAAGGCGGUUGCCUGGAGCUUUGCUGACGCUGAGGCGCGAAAGCGUGGGGAGCAAACAGG
rnacentral:rRNA from 1 species